UCCCUGGUGGUCCAAUGGCUAAGACUCCAUGCUCACAAUGUAGGGGGACUGGGUUCAAACCCUGGUCAGGGAA
rnacentral:tRNA from 1 species